GAUUAAGUCGGCGGUGAAAUUUUGCAGCUCAACUGUAAAAGUGCCUUCGAAACUGGUUUCCUUGAGUGUAGAUGAAGUAGGCGGAAUUUGUGGUGUAGCGGUGAAAUGCAUAGAUAUCACGAGGAACUCCGAUUGCGCAGGCAGCUUACUAAACUACUACUGACGCUCAGGCACGAAGGCGUGGGGAUCAAACAGGAUUAGAAACCCUGGUAGUCCACUGUCUCUUAUACAC
rnacentral:rRNA from 1 species